rnacentral:lncRNA from 1 species
GUCCUGGCAUCAUUGACAAUGGACUGAUAAAACAGAAUGCUUAUGGUUCAAAAAUUUCACGUAAUCCCUUGCAAGCAAACCAAGGCCGAUUUACGUCAAUCCCAGAUGGUUGAAAAUCUCCCCUAAAGGACACAGCAUUCAACUAUGAAUUUUUAAAACCUUAUUUAAUAAAAGGUUUAAAGAUACAGAAGAACAUUCAAAAGUAAAUAAGUUACAUAGGUACAUUACAAUCACAUCAGCAAGAUUUUCUUUAGUGAAUAUACUUAUUUAUAUGCUAUUAAAAUAUUUGUACAAUAAUUACAGACUGUCAAGGCUGUUCCUGUGCUCUGUCCCCUCCAAGGCCUUCGACUGAGAGACAAAUGAGGAAAAGGUGAAACAGCUGCAAAUUGUUAGAGGCAAAUAUUAACACAGCAAAAAUAUGGGGAGGACAUACAAUUGUUUUAUAAAAAUAUGCAUACUUCCUGUAAACCUAAGAAGUUAGGUUUGCCAGUAUGGUAAUAAAUACCAUCCAAGAAAAGUGAGCCUCAAUAAAAACAUUUAAAUAGCUGAGGCUUGAAUAUGCGUUGUAUUCCUCCUUCAUCUUAACAUCUGGCAUG